rnacentral:lncRNA from 1 species
CGGCCACAACGUGAUAUUCUUACCACUAAACUACAGCCACAAUUGUGUACUAAUUGAACUAAAGCCAUUAAAGAAAAGGUAUUCUAGAAAUAUAGUGAAAUUAAUAUUAUAUAUUAAUAAUUAACAUAUAUGCUUUACUAAUUAUAUUAUAACCAAAUCUUACACAUCCAAAUAAUUAAUUUUGCUGGCAUUCAUUACUUAAUAUAAACUAGACAUGCAGUACCCUUAUAUAUAUAUGUUUCUUACUUGUAACUAGUACGUACUCGAUUCCAGCUACUUCCAUGCAUGCAUAUACAUAUCACUACACGUGGACGCCCGUACAUGUAGAGAGUAGGUAUUUCACAUAUAUAUGUAUACAUCAUAGGGGUGAGGUGGACUGAUGAGUCAGCACGCCCGAUGAUGACGAGGAUCAGUUAGGAAUGAGCUUGAAACGUGGCUUGGAGAGAGCUGGUGUUGGAUCGUAGCUUCCAUAGUCUUUUGUGUUUGCUCUCAGUACCCUCUCCCUUACUACUACUUCUGUCUGUAAAUUAAAAUAAUAAACAAAUCGGACAAAUUAAAGUUCACAUUUAGUGAUGUUAUCGUUAGGUAAAAUUUGAAUUUUUUGGUUUCAUCAAGUCAAGUGAGUCUGGUAAUAUCAUGACAAGAGGCGAAAUGAUUACGCAUUUCAAGUUUCUCAAAUCUAAGUUUCCUAGGAACAAAAGUUAAGCUCUAAAACCCAUUUGGCAACAUUUGAGUACUUACCAUUCAUGUAUGUUUGUUUCCAUAGCCCCUUUCGAUUUUUUUUUUGACUAUUAGUAGAAUGGAAGGAAAAUCUUAAUAUAGUGCUAUGAAAAUAAAAGUUAAAACGGUAUUUAGUGCUAAUUAAGGACGAAUAACGAUAUAGUGUGUACUUUAUUUUCGGUAUAUAUAUCACUGAAAAAUAAAAUCCAAAUCUGUUCUACCUCAAAAGAGGGGAUGAUGCCUUCACCCGGUUCGUUGCUGUCUUCGUGACUAUUCAAUUCAAAUCCUCGACUAGCUGCAUCAAAAAAUAAAAAAAAACCCGAAAAUUUAUUACUUUUUGCAUGGAAGCUAUAUAAGAUUUGUCCAUCCAUGAUUCCGCCAUCGAUUAAGACAAUUUGUGAAAUUCUAUUCCUUACCACUCGACUAAUUAUACACCGUCUUUUGUAAGAUAGAUGAAUAAAAUCAUACUUUCUUGUGGAAAAAAUUUAGUGAGAAUGAAGAAGAGUGAAAAGAGGUUGGUAUGAGUAAAAAGACUUGGUCUCAACUGGUUCUAACAAUCGUCUAGUUGGAAUUCAAUUAGUUAGUUUAUAACUUAUUUGACGCAGUUGGAAUCUGUUCUCACAAUUAGACGUUUUCACGUUAGGAUAAUAUCCUGGUGCACGAAGGAUGGUUUAUUGUGCCAUUUUAACUCGAAUACGUAAUAAGUAAGGUAGCGUACCUGCAAGACAGAGAGAAGGGAGGGACAGUAAUAUUGCCGAGGAGAUGAGAAGUAGAAGCAACACCAUCAUCCCACCACAUUUCUUCACACCAUGAUGAUCAACUUCCAUUGAUACAGCUUCAACACCUUAGUUGGUAUAUUUACUUUCACCUCUUUAAUGGCGGUUUCUCCCUCUGACUGUUUGUUUCAACUUAUGUUAUGAAGAUUUCAAAGGACAGAGAGAAGUAUGGAUGCAUACAUAUUUGCUUAAUACCUAGCCAGCUCUUCAUAUAUCUAAUCUCAAU